rnacentral:lncRNA from 1 species
CCACAUAUGAUUUAUAACCAGAAUAAUUACUUGAUAUUAUUUGUGAAUUGUGACGUGUCUGUGCUUUGCUACACGGCUAAAUAACCUGAUAACCUGCAUAAUAUGCUGUUUUAUCAAGCCAAAAUUGUGACUUAAACAUGUUGACGAGAAUAGCGAGAAUUUCGUUCCACAACGGACUUAUGGGGAAGCAUUUAAAGACAUAUUUGAAAUUGUCAAUGAUGAAGUCGUUCACAAAUGUAAACAAGACAUUUUACCGACGUUUGGUGUCUAAUAUUCCGACUGAGACUGACGGGAAAGCAGGUA